GUGUCUAUGGCUAAGUGGUUAAGGCACUGGCCACAUAAACCAGGAAUAGUGGGUUCAAACCCAGCUGGGCCUG
rnacentral:tRNA from 1 species